UUUAUCUCCAAUCCUCUCAGCCAAUUUGGAGGCUACUUCCUCAGUACGAAAAGGAACAAAUAAGAAGAGAAGCAGUCGGGGUGAAGUGUUGUUUUGUCUUGAUUUUUGGUUACUGAUUUCAAUUUGGCAAAAGAUGAUUUUUGUAACUCCUUGAUGCUGCGUUUUCUGGUAGAAGAAAAACAGGGUCUCAUGGACAAUCCUAUCUGGUAAUAUUUUACAUUGACAGCAAAAGCAAGACACAACUGUGAAACCAAAAAUCUUAAAUGAUCCAGGACUAAGAGAGUUCGAAAAGAU